GGCAGUUAGUGUUAUUGUCUCCUCCAGCACUUGGCCGUGACUGGGGGCUCCAGGGAGACAGGGAUCGGUUCUUUAGCCAUGCU